UACGUGGGGUGCGAGCGUUGUCCGGAAUCCCUGGGCGUAAAGGGCGCGUAGGUGGCCUGAUAAGGGUGUGGUGAAAGUCCGGGGCUCAACCCCGGCUCUGCCGUGCCGACGGUCAGGCUAGAGUACUGUAGGGGCAGGCGGAAUUCCGGGUGUAGCGGUGGAAUGCGUAGAGAUCCGGAGGAAGACCGGUGGCGAAGGCGGCCUGCUGGGCAGUUACUGACACUGAGGCGCGACAGCGUGGGGAGCAAACAGG
rnacentral:rRNA from 1 species